GGUGGCUCAGUGGUAGAGCGCUUGCCUUACAUGCUAGAGGCCUUGGGUUCGAUUCCUCAGCACCA
rfam:Dipodomys ordii contig_23076, whole genome shotgun sequence.